AAAUAAACAUUUGAUGGUAAAGUAAUUAUUAUAUAUUGGAUUGUAAACUAACCGAAAUAGUUUUCUGUCUAAAAAUUGAUAUCAAAUAAUUAUCACAGUAUAUAAAAAAAAGAUACAGUGAGUACAAAUGAGUAAACCUAAUGUUAUUUGUGAGUUAUAUUUGGGAGGUUCAGCACAAAACCGGAAAAAACUUUUCAGUAAAGCGUUGUGUCGUGCCAAGAAUGGAAAAGUUUUAUACAUUUUAUCAGAAGAGUUGAAUGAGCUACCUCAGUUAUCUCAGGACGUAAAUCAAAUUGAUAGACAUUAUUUAAAAAUGAUUAGUUUCUUAUAUGCCUCAAGAUUACAGUCACUCAUAGAAAGCCUAGUUGCAUUACCAACUUGGCAAAACAUUCCAUCCACAAUUAUAUUGGACGAUUUAAGUGAAUAUUGUACUAAAGACAAUUUUCAAACUGCUUGUGGUAUCACUGCUUUAUUUAUAGAUACAGUCAAUAGCUGUUCAAAUAUAUCUAAAUCAACUUGCAGACUUUACCUUGGAGCUCAAGAAGUGACGUAGGUGACGCCUUCAGCUUCUCCUUCCACUGCACCAUCUACACCCUGUACAGCACCUUCAACCCCUUGCGCGGCCACUAGUAAGGUCUGUUUGAAGUUUACAUUAUUUAAUAACUGAAUUUUGUAACCGCUUACCAUCAUGUGGGCUGUAUGCUUGUUUGCCGACCUAGUUUAAUAAAUAAAAUUCACCUGUCCAUCUUCUCUUGUGACGUACAUGACACCCUCCCCCUCUCCUUCGACGGACCCCUCAACGCCCUCUACAGCGCCUUCUACGCCUUCCGCUGCUACUAAUAGUGUCUGUCCAGCUUCGUUCUCACCAGCGACCUGUUUAAAUAUAAUAUUGUUACUAUUUUUAUGCAAAAAAAAAAAUACAGAA